rnacentral:rRNA from 1 species
UAGGGAAUCUUCCGCAAUGGACGCAAGUCUGACGGAGCAACGCCGCGUGAGUGAAGAAGGAUUUCGGUUCGUAAAACUCUGUUGUUAGAGAAGAACAGCGCAUAGAGUAACUGUUAUGCGUGUGACGGUAUCUAACCAGAAAGCCACGGCUAACUACGUGCCAGCAGCCGCGGUAAUACGUAGGUGGCAAGCGUUGUCCGGAUUUAUUGGGCGUAAAGCGAGCGCAGGCGGUCAAUUAAGUCUGAUGUGAAAGCCCCCGGCUCAACCGGGGAGGGUCAUUGGAAACUGGUUGACUUGAGUGCAGAAGAGGGGAGUGGAAUUCCAUGUGUAGCGGUGAAAUGCGUGGAUAUAUGGAGGAACACCAGUGGCGAAGGCGACUCUCUGGUCUGUAACUGACGCGGAGGCUCGAAAGCGUGGGUAGCAAACAGG